AUGGUUAAUUGUUUUCUACAAAAUCAGCCAAUUGUUCAUAAGGUGAUAUUAUUUAUGUCUUCUCGAACCUGCACCCUACGGUUUUACUUUGACUUCUCUCCGACCUAUGUCGGAGUUGGAAUGAUUUGCCCACAUAUUGUCAACGUAUCUGUUCUCCUUGGAGGCAUCCUGUCUUGGGGAAUAAUGUGGCCUCUCAUAGCCAAGAAAAGGGGUAUUUGGUUCGCUGCCAAUCUUGCUGAUACUAGUCUUCACGGAAUGCAAGGUUACCGGGUGUUCAUAGCCAUUGCCUUGAUUCUCGGUGAUGGCCUCUACAACUUUCUCAAGAUGCUCAUUCUCACAGCCUGGUCAUUAAGAUCUCAACACAAGAAGAGUAGCGCUAGUACACUUCCAAUCUCUGAUGAUGAACCAAGUAAUGGUACUGCAACUAUAUCAUACGAUGAGGAGCGACGCAAUGAACUCUUUCUAAAGGAUCAAAUCCCCUGGUACAUUGCAUAUGGAGGCUAUGCUGCUGUUGCCGCCGUAUCUAUUGGCACUGUCCCACAGAUAUUCCCUCAGCUGAAGUGGUACCAAAUAUUGGUAGCCUAUAUCGUAGCACCGAUACUUGCCUUCUGCAAUGCCUAUGGAACUGGCCUCACUGAUUGGUCUCUCGUUACAACUUAUGGAAAGCUCGCAAUCUUCGCUUUCGGUGCAUGGACAGGUGCUUCACAUGGAGGUGUUCUUGCAGGUCUGGCUGCCUGUGGUGUGAUGAUGAGCAUUGUUUCUACUGCUGCUGAUCUGAUGCAGGACUUCAAAACAGGAUACCUGACACUGGCCUCACCAAGGUCAAUGUUCAUCAGCCAAGUCAUAGGCACUGCAAUGGGUUGCGUCAUUGCUCCCUGUGUUUUCUGGCUUUUUUACAAGGCCUUUGAUAAUAUUGGGAUCAGUGGAAGUGAGUACCCUGCACCAAAUGCUGCCAUCUUCCGCAGCAUGGCAAUACUAGGUGUCGAUGGCUUCUCAUCGCUACCAAAGAACUGCCUUACUCUCUGCUACAUAUUCUUUGUUGGAGCAAUCGUUGUCAACUUGAUAAGAGAUCUUGUUCCCAAGAAGGUAUCAAACUUCAUACCAAUCCCAAUGGCGAUGGCAAUCCCAUUCUACAUAGGAUCGUAUUUCGCCAUUGACAUGUUCAUCGGGACAGUGAUCCUUUUUGUCUGGCAAAAGCUGGACAGAGCCAAGUCGGAAACAUUUGCACCGGCAGUUGCUUCCGGCUUGAUUUGCGGCGAUGGAUUGUGGGUUCUGCCUCAGUCGGUGCUUGCUCUUGCCAAGGUGAAACCUCCUAUCUGCAUGAAGUUUCUGUCAAGAGGGGUGAACGACAAGGUGGAUGCUUUCAUCACAACAUUAUCGUAG
rnacentral:rRNA from 1 species